CAAGUCGUGGGGCAGCAUGAACUAGCAAUAGUUUGAUGGCGACCGGCAAACGGGUGCGGAACACGUACACAACCUCCCGAUAAGUGGGGAAUAGCCCAGAGAAAUUUGGAUUAAUACCCCGUAACAUUGCGAUGUGGCAUCACAUUGCAAUUAUAGCUUCGGCGCUUAUUGAUGGGUGUGCGGCUGAUUAGAUAGUUGGCGGGGUAACGGCCCACCAAGUCUACGAUCAGUAGCUGAUGUGAGAGCAUGAUCAGCCACACGGGCACUGAGACACGGGCCCGACUCCUACGGGAGGCAGCAGUAAGGAAUAUUGGUCAAUGGACGAAAGUCUGAACCAGCCAUGCCGCGUGAAGGAUUAAGGUCCUCUGGAUUGUAAACUUCUUUUAUAUGGGACGAAAAAAGGUCUUUCUAGAUCACUUGACGGUACCAUAUGAAUAAGCACCGGCUAACUCCGUGCCAGCAGCCGCGGUAAUACGGAGGGUGCAAGCGUUAUCCGGAUUCACUGGGUUUAAAGGGUGCGUAGGCGGGCAGGUAAGUCAGUGGUGAAAUCCUGGAGCUCAACUCCAGAACUGCCAUUGAUACUAUCUGUCUUGAAUAUUGUGGAGGUAAGCGGAAUAUGUCAUGUAGCGGUGAAAUGCUUAGAUAUGACAUAGAACACCCAUUGCGAAGGCAGCUUACUACGCAUAUAUUGACGCUGAGGCACGAAAGCGUGGGGAUCAAACAGGAUUAGAUACCCUGGUAGUCCACGCCCUAAACGAUGGAUACUCGACAUACGCGAUACACUGUGUGUGUCUGAGCGAAAGCAUUAAGUAUCCCACCUGGGAAGUACGUUCGCAAGAAUGAAACUCAAAGGAAUUGGCGGG
rnacentral:rRNA from 1 species